rnacentral:rRNA from 1 species
CAAGUCGAACGAAGUAGCAAUACUUAGUGGCAGGCGGGUGAGUAACAUGUAGGUAUCUACCCUUUGGCCUGGAAUAACACGAGGAAACUUGUGCUAAUACCGGAUAAGUCUUUACGGAGAAAGCUUUAUGCACCAUUGGAUGAGCCUGCACUUGAUUAGUUUGUUGGUGGGGUAAUGGCCUACCAAGACUGUGAUCAAUAGCUGAUUUGAGAGGAUGAUCAGCCACAUUGGGACUGAGACACGGCCCAAACUCCUACGGGAGGCAGCAGUGGGGAAUCUUGCACAAUGGAGGAAACUCUGAUGCAGCGAUGCCGCGUGAGUGAAGAAGGCCCUUGGGUUGUAAAGCUCUUUCGUCGGGGAAGAAAAUGACUGUACCCGAAUAAGAAGGUCCGGCUAACUUCGUGCCAGCAGCCGCGGUAAUACGAAGGGACCUAGCGUAGUUCGGAAUUACUGGGCUUAAAGAGUUCGUAGGUGGUUGAAAAAGUUGGUGGCGAAAUCCCAGAGCUUAACUCUGGAACUGCCAUCAAAACUUUUCAGCUAGAGUUUGAUAGAGGAAAGCAGAAUUUCUAGUGUAGAGGUGAAAUUCGUAGAUAUUAGAAAGAAUACCGAUUGCGAAGGCAGCUUUCUGGAUCAUUACUGACACUGAGGAACGAAAGCAUGAGUAGCGAAGAGGAUUAGAUACCCUCGUAGUCCAUGCCGUAAACGAUGUGUGUUAGACGUUGGAAAUUUAUUUUCAGUGUCGCAGCGAAAGCGAUAAACACACCGCCUGGGGAGUACGACCGCAAGGUUAAAACUCAAAUGAAUUGACGGG